CAUGCAAGUCGAACGGCAGCGGGGGUAGCUUGCUACCUGCCGGCGAGUGGCGAACGGGUGAGUAAUACAUCGGAACGUGCCCUGUAGUGGGGGAUAACUAGUCGAAAGACUAGCUAAUACCGCAUACGACCUGAGGGUGAAAGUGGGGGACCGCAAGGCCUCAUGCUAUAGGAGCGGCCGAUGUCUGAUUAGCUAGUUGGUGGGGUAAAGGCCCACCAAGGCGACGAUCAGUAGCUGGUCUGAGAGGACGAUCAGCCACACUGGGACUGAGACACGGCCCAGACUCCUACGGGAGGCAGCAGUGGGGAAUUUUGGACAAUGGGGGCAACCCUGAUCCAGCAAUGCCGCGUGUGUGAAGAAGGCCUUCGGGUUGUAAAGCACUUUUGUCCGGAAAGAAAUCGCUUCGGUUAAUACCUGGAGUGGAUGACGGUACCGGAAGAAUAAGGACCGGCUAACUACGUGCCAGCAGCCGCGGUAAUACGUAGGGUCCAAGCGUUAAUCGGAAUUACUGGGCGUAAAGCGUGCGCAGGCGGUUGUGCAAGACCGAUGUGAAAUCCCCGGGCUUAACCUGGGAAUUGCAUUGGUGACUGCACAGCUAGAGUGUGUCAGAGGGAGGUAGAAUUCCACGUGUAGCAGUGAAAUGCGUAGAGAUGUGGAGGAAUACCGAUGGCGAAGGCAGCCUCCUGGGAUAACACUGACGCUCAUGCACGAAAGCGUGGGGAGCAAACAGGAUUAGAUACCCUGGUAGUCCACGCCCUAAACGAUGUCAACUAGUUGUUGGGGAUUCAUUUCCUUAGUAACGUAGCUAACGCGUGAAGUUGACCGCCUGGGGAGUACGGUCGCAAGAUUAAAACUCAAAGGAAUUGACGGGGACCCGCACAAGCGGUGGAUGAUGUGGAUUAAUUCGAUGCAACGCGAAAAACCUUACCUACCCUUGACAUGCCACUAACGAAGCAGAGAUGCAUUAGGUGCUCGAAAGAGAAAGUGGACACAGGUGCUGCAUGGCUGUCCGUCAGCUCGUGUCGUGAGAUGUUGGGUUAAGUCCCGCAACGAGCGCAACCCUUGUCUCUAGUUGCUACGAAAGGGCACUCUAGAGAGACUGCCGGUGACAAACCGGAGGAAGGUGGGGAUGACGUCAAGUCCUCAUGGCCCUUAUGGGUAGGGCUUCACACGUCAUACAAUGGUGCAUACAGAGGGUUGCCAAGCCGCGAGGUGGAGCUAAUCCCAGAAAAUGCAUCGUAGUCCGGAUCGUAGUCUGCAACUCGACUACGUGAAGCUGGAAUCGCUAGUAAUCGCGGAUCAGCAUGCCGCGGUGAAUACGUUCCCGGGUCUUGUACACACCGCCCGUCACACCAUGGGAGUGGGUUUUGCCAGAAGUAGUUAG
rnacentral:rRNA from 1 species